GUGGAGUCUUCGUUUUAAUUUGAACCAACACGGGAAAGCUUAUAAGUUCCGAAUGUAAGGGUGUAAGACAGACUGAUAGCUCUUCCUCGGUGGGUGGUAGUGCAUGGUCGUUCUUAGUUCGUGGAAUGAUUUGUCUGGUUACUUCCGUUAAAUAGAUGCGUUCAGGAUUAUGAUUUUUGAGGUUUUUAUGGUUUUCAUUUACGAGCGCAGCAAAAUAAAUGAGUAUUUGAAUGUGUUUGUAAAAAUAGGGCCGUACCUGUUAAGGAAACUAGCUUCUCAAAUAGAAAAAUUACGUCUAGCAAUAAAGAGAUUGACCAAAAAUAAGUUUGUGAGGCCCCUAGAUGCCCUGGGCGACACGCGCUACAACGAAAGUAUCAAGUGCUUUGAACCAUUUUCCAUGAAGUUGGCGGGAAAAUGGUGAAAUAUCAAAUUUCGUCGAAAAUGUUCCAAAAAUUGCGACGUAUUGAUCGAACAGGAAU
rnacentral:ncRNA from 1 species